AACCAACUAAGUCACCUACCAAACCACAUUCAAAACAAAAAAAUCUCCUUUAAAGUCCCUACACUUAACCGUUUUCAAUCAAGUCACCUACCAAACCACAUUCAAAAUCAAAAAAAUUCCCUUUAAAGUUCCUACACUUAACCAUUUCAACCAACUAAGUCACCUACCAAACCACAUUUAAAACAAAAAAAUCUUCUUUAAAAUCCUACACUUAACCGUUUUCAACUAACUAAGUCACCUAACAAACCACAUUCAAAAUAAAAAAAUUUCCUUUAAAGUCCCUACACUUAACCGUUUUCAACCAACUAAGUCACCUACCAAAUCAAAUUCAAAACAAAAAAAAAUACCCUUUAAAGUCCCUACACUUAACCGUUUUCAACCAACGAAAUCACCUACCAAACCACAUUCAAAACAAAAAAAUUCUCUUUAAAGUUCCUACCCUUAACCGUUUUCAACCAACUAAGUCACCUAUCAAACCACAUUCAAAAUAAAAAAAUUCUCUUUAAAGUUCCUACACUUAACCAUUUUCAAGUGACUAAGUAUAAAAACAAAACCACAUUCAAAACAAAAAAAUUUCCUUUAAAUUUCCUACACUUAACCAUAGUCAAGUGACUAAGUAACCAAACAAACAACAUCCAAAACAAAAAAAAAUUCCCUCUAAAGUCCCUAGACUUAACCAUAUUCAAGUAACUAAGUCACCUACCAAACCACAUUCAAAACAAAAAAAUCUCCUUUAAAGUUCCUACACCUAACCAUUUUCAACCAACUAAGUCACCUACCAAACCACAUUCAAAACAAAAAAAAUCCCCUUUAAAGUCCCUACACUUAACCGUUUUCAACCAACUAAGUCACCUACAAAACCACAUUCAAAACAAAAAAAUACCCUUUAAAGUCCCUACAAUUAAUCAUUUCCAACCAACUAAGUCACCCACCAAACCACAUUUAAAAUAAAAAAAUCUCCUUUAAAGUCCCAACACUUAACCGUUUUCAACCAGCUAAGUCACCUACCAAACCACAUUCAAAACAAAAAAAUCUCCUUUAAAGUCCCUACACUUAACCGUUUUCAACCAACUAAGUCACCUACCAAACCACAUUUAAAACAAAAAAAUCCCCUUCAAAGUUCCUACUACCGUUUUCAACCAACUAAGUCACCUAGCAAACUACAUUCAAAACAAAAAGAUUCCCUUUGAAGUUCCUACACUUAACCAUUUUCAAGUGACUAAGUAUCAAAACAAAACCACAUUCAAAACAAAAAA
rnacentral:lncRNA from 1 species